CUUUUCUCCGCAGCCAUUGCGGAAGGCCGUUUCUGUGGCUCGCGGAAAUCCACUGCUAGUGCUUGAACGAAGACGCGGCAUACGGAAAAAAGAGACCGGAAAUACCUCGAAAUGUACGUUACUUCGUUUGACGCGAAAGAAUUUACCCUGGGAGCAUACGAAGCACCAAUAUGCGUCCCGGUCUUCGGCGGUGAGAUGUUGAUGUGAGCCCCCCGAAUGUCAGCUCGGUGAUGUGCGACGCGAGUGAGCCUUUCUACUUUUUGGCGGAGACCCCAUUUCGCCAGCAAGUGUCUCGGUGUCUCCGUGAAGCACCGAAGUGUAGCUACAGCCCUCUUCGGCGAGCUGAACGGGCAGCCGAGCUUUCGAAGGCCGAUCUCCCGCAGCGCUGGAACCCGGAGAACCGCGCCAUGGCGCUCGCUGAGAAUCCACCGGCUGCCGGGCUACUGAAAGGGCCCUCUGCUCGGAGGACAUGCUGAGGGCCCUGUAUAAUGCCCUCGGCGCCUGUGCGACUUCCGGGGGUCUGCGUUUCACGACCCCGUUACCAGCUGGGAAGUUCUCCAUGGAGGGGACGACAUCCUGUCCAGCACCAGCUUCACCAUCUGGGACCAAGUGCACGAGGGGUCGCACUGCAAGGAGAUGAAAGGAGGGCACUGCGACCUUGAGGUCAAGCUUGUACAUCUACCAUUACAGUCCUGAAUGGAUGCCAAUUGGUACUGAUGACGUUAUGAAGGUGAAACGUCCCUGGAUCUAAAGGGAAAAUUUGAUUGAAGGCAAGCUGAAGUUGUUUCUGACUUUAUCCUCUUACGACUUGAAAGUAAUCUGCCUACUUCAUGAAUACUUGAUUUCAAGCUUGCAGAUUGAAAUAAUAUUUUAUUGAAUCAUAUCCAUUCUUAAACCUGUUUGAGAUUGUAUUGGUUCGUAUUCACAGUAUAUUUAUUUUUCAUUUCAGCAAGGAAUAAUUUAGAGACAGAUGUUGGUGUUCAGGCGUGAUGCUUUUAUUUUUGUAACAUGCAAGAGGGCAAAAAAUUAGAUUCGGCUUUGUAAACUGAUUUUUUUAUGUAUUUUUCCAAACAGCAUAGCAAAGAAUAAUAUAAGGGCUACAGCUGCGUGAGUUGCUACACCUGGCAUCUCAUUUGUUUUAUAGCGUGUACAGGUGAGACACUAUACUCCGUUUCUCGGUAACUUGGCAAACAUUGCGACCCAAUAAGAGCAUCGGAGCCAGGCACGUGACAAUACUCCACGGUCGAGUCCUCGUUAUUGCCACAGCAAGAGCGCCAUCUGCGACAAAACCUAGUUCUAGGCUUUGUUUCUUCUUCUUCUUUUAGUAGUGUUGCCGUCGGAUUCUUCGGACCGCAACACUACACGACACUGAAGAAAGACGAAGACAUUUGUUACUUACUAGCGACACUUAAUAUAGAUCAACACUUUUCUGAGAAAAACAUGGCCUGUGAUCGAAGUUCAAGCAAUUGUAGCCGUGAAUCGACCACUUCCGCUCAAAACAU